AGUGAACGCUGGCGGUAGGCCUAACACAUGCAAGUCGAACGGCAGCACAGUAAGAGCUUGCUCUUACGGGUGGCGAGUGGCGGACGGGUGAGGAAUACAUCGGAAUCUACUUUUUCGUGGGGGAUAACGUAGGGAAACUUACGCUAAUACCGCAUACGACCUACGUGUGAAAGCAGGGGAUCUUCGGACCUUGCGCGAUUGAAUGAGCCGAUGUCGGAUUAGCUAGUUGGCGGGGUAAAGGCCCACCAAGGCGACGAUGCGUAGCUGGUCUGAGAGGAUGAUCAGCCACACUGGAACUGAGACACGGUCCAGACUCCUACGGGAGGCCGCAGUGGGGAAUAUUGCACAAUGGGCGAAAGCCUGAUACAGCAAUACCGCGUGAGUGAAGAAGGCCUUCGGGUUGUAAAGCCCUUUUGUUGGGAAAGAAAAGCAGCAGGUUAAUACCCCGCUGUUCUGGCGGUACCCAAAGAAUAAGCACCGGCUAACUUCGUG
rnacentral:rRNA from 1 species